rnacentral:rRNA from 1 species
AUUGAACGCUGGCGGAAUGCUUUACACAUGCAAGUCGAGCGGCAGCGCGGCCUUCGGGCUGGCGGCGAGCGGCGAACGGGUGAGUAAUGCAUCGGAACAUGCCCAGUCGUGGGGGAUAACACUUCGAAAGAAGUGCUAAUACCGCAUACGUCCUGAGGGGGAAAGCGGGGGAUCGCAAGACCUCGCGCGAUUGGAGUGGCCGAUGUCAGAUUAGCUAGUUGGUGGGGUAAAGGCCUACCAAGGCGACGAUCUGUAGCUGGUCUGAGAGGAUGAUCAGCCACACUGGGACUGAGACACGGCCCAGACUCCUACGGGAGGCAGCAGUGGGGAAUUUUGGACAAUGGGGGCAACCCUGAUCCAGCCAUUCCGCGUGAGUGAAGAAGGCCCUCGGGUUGUAAAGCUCUUUCGGCAGGAACGAAACGGUGGGCUCUAACAUAGUCCGCUAAUGACGGUACCUGAAGAAGAAGCACCGGCUAACUACGUG